AAAAGGAAAACUAGAAGACGUGGAGAGUUUUGGUAAUGAAUUAUAAAUGGAUAAAGUGAUUGGGGGAUCCAAAUCAGCCAGCCAAUGAGAUGAUAACACUUGUCAAUUUGUUUACAUAGGAAGACAUAAAAGCAUUUUCUAGAUAAAGGUGUAGAAGACACUAACAAUCUCUUUGUGCGCAGAAUCUUAGUUUUGGACGGCAUAACAAACAAAACAAAGAAUCGACAUCGUCACCCUUCGUAAAAUAUUUGACUUGUUUGUCUAUAAUACUUAGGACGCUUAUAUUUCCGCGGCAUAUUUUGAUGUUUAGUUAUUUAUAUAGUGACGAUUAUAACCUAUUUAUUUAAUAGGGAGAAAUUUCAGUUUUUUGUUUCUAAAAAACUCAUGAUUAGGCUCGGGAGUCCAAACCACGCACGACGAAACAUACACUCCUUUGAGGUUGCUCUUCAGCCGCUUCUUUUUCAGCCGACUCUCAAACGGUAACUCCAAAUUCUAUGUAUAUUGCUUAAAGUACGGUCAUUUAAAACAGUUGCAAUUACAAAAACAACAUGAUUUUGUGCCCUAGUUUCAUUAGAUUAAUAACAUCAUACAUUGAUUCCAUGUAGACAACAUUGAAUCCAUCACGUGAAUUGUUACCAAUUUCUAAUAUAAUAUCAUAUUAAGGAAGCAGACAAUAAAAAUGUUUUUGUUUCGAUGCAAACAUUUAAUAUAACAAUUGGAAAAAAACGAUAUCUUUUUUUUUUUUUUAAACUCUCCGUAACUAGACCACUAAAAUGAAUUAUAUGUUAAAUAACAAGCAAAUGGAUUACAUGUUAAAUUUAUUGAAUGAAAAGUAUAUGUUUUGUAUAUCCUUAGAGGAAAAUAAUACAUUUUUAGUUUGACUUCUUGACUAGUCUCUAUAAGUGUAACACUUGGUUUUUCGUAACAUGUAUUAUUUUACGGGGCGUAAAUUUUAUGAGAUAAGAGAUGAAAUAAAACUUUGAGGUGCUUUAAAUUGAGAAAUGUUGUUUAGCAAAAGAUAAUUAAGGAGUGUUUUAGAUCUUGUUGAGAUGAUUUUGUGGAUAUAAUUAUCAUCGAAAACGGAGUUCGUAUGAGAAAUUUAUGACCGUAUUGAAGAUUUAGAUGAAAGUGCAUUGCUAUUUUGAGAAAGUCAACAGAAGUCAAGUGAACGGUCACACUCUUGACCACCACAAUGUGGUUGUAUGCUUGCCACGACAUGGCAAUGAGUGAAUCAUCAAUACACAUGUCAACCGGAGAGCGACACGUGGCUAGACGGAGUCUAUCUCAUCACCACAACGUGGUAGUAGAUUCACCACAAUGUGGUAUGAGGCGAGUCACCGAGACACGUGGUGGGAGAGUGCGACAUGUGGUGAAACAGGAUUUUACUUGAUCACCACGAUGUGGCAUGCUUAUGGCCACCACGUGGGGCACUAUAGAGUAUAAAUAUGUGUGUUUUUGUGUCAUAUAGGGGACUUUGGCACUCGUAAGUCGUUCUUGGAAGAUUAUAGCGGAUGAAAUAUAAUGUUGUACAAGAGACACGAGGUCGACUACGAGAUUCAUUGAUGUGUUACCAUAAGACGUAAGGUUUAUUUUGACGCCGGACUACAUCAUGUACUUGAGGCCAAUAUGAUCCUUAUGAUAACUUCUUCUAUACCACCGUGCUAGUGUACACAAAAAACUAUUUGUAAAUUUUAGAAGAGAAAUGAAAUUUUAGGGUGUACCCUGGUAGACAAACCUGGACGUUACAAUAAGAUCCUUUGGUCCUAGACGACUAACUAAACAAAUGUAUUAUAUGUUAAAUACUUAAUAUUCUUUGAGAUACAUACUGUAUAAUUUAUAGAAAUGAGAAAGUAUGUUACCAUUA